UUGAUCAAACAAUUGGUAAUAUUUUGCUUUUGAAAUAACUGUAAUUGAUAGUUUUUUUUAUUCAUCUAAAAAUUAUUUAUAAAUUAAAAUUUUUUAAUUUAUUAUUUAGAUUUUGUAAAUGAAAAUAAUAAAAUUGUUUAUGUUGGGUGUUCGACGGUGGUAAGAGUUCUUCUCAAAUCUGGAAGAUUUCAUGAAAAUGUAGGGUUUCAUGAAGGCGUGUCUGAGUCCACUGGGAAAGCUUUCGAGGAUGCGAGAAAAAUAUCAUACACGGAUGCCCUAUAUAGGACAUUACUAUCAUUCGAAGAAUUUGGCGAACUGAUAAUUAAAAUUGAAGAAAAAAAAAAAAGAUUAGAAAAACAAAAAAAAUUAAAAAAUGAUUGGAUAAAAAAAAAUAUGGUGGAAGCUACAGUUAGUAAUAAAAUCUUAGAGGAAAUGGAAAAAGAUUCGAUGACAGAAGUUUAAUUAAAAAAUAAUUGAUUUAAUAAGAAUUACGUUAUGUGAUAAUUAAUUGUUCAUAAAAAUAUUUUAAUUGCUAUUGACAUGAUUUUAGUAUAAUUAUAAUAAUGAGACUGACUAUGAUGAUUAUAGGAAACAUAAUACUUGAAAAUGAAUCGAAAUAAGCUCAAAGAACAUAA